rnacentral:rRNA from 1 species
CUACGGGCCGCAGCAGUGGGGAAUAUUGCGCAAUGGGCGAAAGCCUGACGCAGCAACGCCGUGUGAGGGAUGAAGGCUUUCGGGUCGUAAACCUCUGUCAGAGGGGAAGAACGGGUAUUGGUCUAAUAGGCCUUUAUUUUGACGGUACCUUCAGAGGAAGCACCGGCUAACUCCGUGCCAGCAGCCGCGGUAAUACGGAGGGUGCAAGCGUUAUUCGGAAUUACUGGGCGUAAAGCGCACGUAGGCCGCUUUGUAAGUCAGGGGUGAAAUCCCACGGCUCAACCGGGGAACUGCCUUUGAAACUGCAGAGCUUGAAUCCUGGAGAGGGUGGCGGAAUUCCUGGUGUAGGAGUGAAAUCCGUAGAUAUCAGGAGGAACACCGGUGGCGAAGGCGGCCACCUGGACAGGUAUUGACGCUGAGGUGCGAAAGUGUGGGGAGCAAACAGGAUUAGAUACCCCCGUAGUC